AAUAUGAUGAGCAGAUCCAGUUCAGUUCUCUGCUCCUACAUAAUACAAGGUCAGCUAGAUUGAGAAAGGGAAGACUUGGAGAUAUCAUCAGGCAUUCUUUCUCUCUUGUCCUUCUCUGCCACUCCAGGAACUCCAAGAGCAUAGAACUGCUGAUUUUUCCUGUCUUUGAACUUCAAAGAUCCCCUGUUGCUGUGGCUACAGGCAUCCUAGAUAAUAAUCCAUAAGCAAGACAAGAAAACCAUGUCCAAUUGCUAACCCCACUGUGUGUAGUAAUUACCCUCUACGGUUUUGAAUAUGUUAAGAAAUUGAAUUAACUGCCUUCAUCUGACAAUGGCAGGAAAGAAGAAAUCUUCUGGAGUGGCAUUUUCUUAAGAGUUUCUGAUCCACUAAGAAACGAUUCCCAUCUAUUUAUUCAUCAUAUACACAGUGUGCACUUGCUAUGCGUUGGGUACUGAGGAUAACACAGAAAGUAGUCCCUUCCUCCCUCCUGAGUGUUAAAAUAUACAAUACAUACAAUACUAUAGAAAAAGCACGGAAUAUGCAGAGACAAUCCAGAUAUGAAAAACUGGAACCCAUACCCGGGGUCACGUGACUUUUGAAGACUUCAGUUCUAUCAUCAAUAAAACUGAGAUAAUAAUAUCAUCAUUUCAGGACUCUUGAAAGGUAUUAUGGAAAUCAAGUGCGUAAGUCAGAAAUACAAAUUUCUUCCUCACUCCUCACCUUCUUCAAGAAAGAUAACCAGAACAAAAGAUGUAAAGUAUCUUUACAACAGUAAGGACAUUAUCCCUAAGUAUCCUACUGCAAAGCUGUAUAUACUGCAAUUCCCUUUCCAAAUUCCUAUAAAUCACAACCUUCCAUUUCCUGAAACUUUGAAAUUGUAUUCAUUGUUACUCACAUUUUUUUAACCAGACACAAAUUUUUCUUUUACCUUUGUAGUUCUAUGGGUUGAGCUAUUGUAUUAAAAAGUUGAUUGAGAAAUAAACUGUCUUUACCAGCAACAAGCAAUCAGGAGCCGUCAACUCUACCUCCUACAGAUUUCUGUUAUCACAGAGGGGCAUGGAGCACUAGGAUUUCAGGGGGACAGCACGGGGAAGGACUUGUUAUAUCACAAUCAUCAAGUCUUGAGAAGACACCAACGUGACCGGUUUACUGCUAACUCAGGGAUAGAGAUAUUAAAAGUUAGUUAUAGAAGAAACAGGACAUUGGAACUGGGUAAAUCUUCCUGCCAGAGAAGCUGAACCUAUGCUUCAACAGCUCCUACUCUAACAGCUUCUCACAUCAGCUGAUCUAGAUCUGUUCUUUUUUACUUUUUGUCAAUAAUACAAAUGGUAUGCCCACCAUCUCUACCAGGUGGGGGGUUCUCAGAUGUUUGAUCCAAGCUUCUCUCACAAAGAGGAGGAAAAAAAGCCAAGAGCGUGAUGUGAUCAGGUAGGAGAAAACAGUGAGGGUCUUACAGAGUUUGCAAUUUGAAGCCCAGGACCUGCAAAAGUAAUCAUUUCAGUAUAUUCACUUCUCCAUUUUGACCCUAAAGACCUAAAUAUUGGGUUCAAAGACAAGAUCAGACCCAAGCCAUCAAGUUGAAUUUCAAGAAGGUCUUUUCUCCUAUUUCCCAAGCAGGAACUCUAGAAUCAGAGGAGUCUGCAUUCUAACUGGGAAUCCCUCCCUUCACCCUACCAUGUCACUGACUCAAUUUGUGAACCUGAGCAAGUAACAACCUCCUUGAGUCCCAAAUUCUAUGCCUGCAAAAUGGGGAAACACAACUUACAGAAUGGAGUGUUAGGAAGAUUAAAUGAGAUUGUAUAUGUGAAGUGCUUGGCAGAACCACUGUAUAUGACCAUGCUAGUUGAACACUAUCUCCACACUUUGAAUGGCAUGUCUUAAAUUUGUGCAGUGUAAAACCUAUACAACCACAUAUGGCAGCCCUUUUCCUUCAUUCAACAGUACCAUUCAUUCUAACAUUCAAAAACUAUGUUCCAGGCACUAUUUCUUCUCUCAGCCUCCCUUAAUAAGCCUUAAUGAAUUAUUCUUCUAUAAAUUUAUUCUAAAUAAAUUCUUGGA